rnacentral:lncRNA from 1 species
CACUCGGGUCCCCUUCCACACUGUGGAAGCUUUGUUCUUUUGCUGUUUGCAAUAAAUCCUGCUACUGCUCACUCUUUGGGUCCACGCUGCUUUUAUGAGCUGUAACACUCACAGCGAAGAUCUGCAGCUUCAUUCCUGAGCCCAGCGAGACCACGAGCCCACCGGGAGGAACGAACAACUCCAGACGCGUUGCCUUAAGAGCUGUAACACUCACCGCGAAGGUCUGCAGCUUCACUCCUGAGCCAGUGAGACCAGGAACCCACCAGAAGGAAGAAACUCCGAACACAUCUGAACAUCAGAAGGAACAAACUCCAGACGCGCCACCUUAAGAGCUGUAACACUCACCGCGAGGGUCCGCGGCUUCACUCUUGAAGUCAGUGAGACUAAGAACCCACCAAUUCCGGACACACUGGGUUCAUAGGGGGAGCUUAGGAAAUGGAGGGACCAGUGUUUAGAAAGCGCCUUCUCAGUCAAGAUUGAGGAUGGUGUCCUCUUCCCAGCCCUGAUGUGGCCACCAUGGUGGCACUGCAUGGCAGUGGCCUGUUUUCCCCACCAGACUGGGUGCUCCAUGAAGACUAAAGCCAAGUGUGUCUUUUUGUUCAGCUCAGGCAUAGUCCAUGACAGCGUUCUGAUAAUUACAUAUUGGCUGCAUGUUUGCAUAGCCAUGAGGUCUGUGGGGUGCCUUUCAGCUCUACAAGCCUCUUCUCUAAGGAGUUGCCCUUGGCUGGUCAAGAAGCUCAGGUGUGGGAAGUGGGUUUUACGUGGCAGUCCUGCUGGGCCCCUGCCAGAGUGCUUGGAGCCGCUAAGUCUGGGCCAUGCAGUCUGUUUACAUGAGCAUUAGGGAACAUUGCUGAGAUGUACUGUAAACAUGGGGCAGGCUGUCAGCAUUGUGCUGGUUUCUGCAUUAUCUCGGUGCCAUCUCAGAACAGAGGCAGGCCAGAAAGCCCCUGCCAAGUGGAACUGGAGCCUGAGAGAUAGGCACGAGCCUCCUAAGUCUGGCUUCCCUGCAGGGACGAGCCUUCCUGAGGGUGGGUUGGAUGUGGGUUCAUACAGCAGGGAUGCUGAGCCAAGCUCCCACUCCACUUAGGGGCUUGGACCAGGGAACAGAAGGAACUAUUGACCUCAUCCUGUUCUCCAGGCUGCAAGUGAGAAAUGGGGUUCUUAGACUGGAAGAAGCCUCAGUGUGGGUAGAGGCAGCUGGGGCCUGAGGCAUGAGCCCCCAGAGGAAAACACAGGAAGCAGGUGGCCAAUCUUGUUCCAGAAGGGCUCUCACCAGGACUGCCCCAGAGUCCACACCAGAUUAUGAAAUAUGCCUUGUGAUUUUGCAUGAACAUCUUUGGCUGAAGAUUGACAAAUGUUGGAGGAAACUGCAACCUUUUUUUUUUUUUUUUUACCAUUAGUUAUUUUAUUGAGCAAUUACAAGUCCCAGGCUCUUACUUUUUCAUAUUAAUUUUUUACAACAAGUUUAUGAGAUGCACACUGUUCUCAUUUAUCAUAUAAGGAAACUAAAACUAAAAGAGUUUAAUAUAUUGCUCAAGGUUAUCCAGUGUAUUGGUUUGCUAGGGCCCUGUAACAAAGUACCUACAAACCGGGUGGCUCAAACAACAGAAAUGCAUUGGGAAACUGCAACCUCUUAUCAGUUAAUUUUCCGAGGCAAACAGUAACCUGGACUGAUUGUGAUUUCCAUGAGUUUCUCUUCUUGGUUUUUUUCCUUCUUGGUAUUGGUGGCUCAGAUGCAAGGCCCUGUGGUUCAAUAGGAAGAGCAGGAGCUUUAUAUUGGAAAACCUGCACUCUGGCUGGCUGUGUGCUGUCUGUGCCUCAGUUUCUUCAUCUGUAAAAUAGGAAUAAGAAUAUUACCCACCUUAGAUAAUUAGAGGGAGUAUUAGAACUCCUUGAAUACUACUAGGCACACAGUAAGUACUGAAGAAAUGUUAACUAAUUAUUAAUCUCACUAUUUAUUAGAAAAUGGAGAUUAAAGUACCUGUCUCACAGGUUUUUGUGAGAGUCAAAUCCAUUCAUUCAUUUGUUCAACAAAUACAUACUGAGCACCCCUAUGUGACAAGUAGUAUACGAGGCACAGGGCUGCUAUGUUAAAAACAAAAUGAGAUCAUUCUGUACUCCCCAGAACUAACAGACUGGUGGGGGAAGAGAUAUAUUAAGUGAUGCAUAAAAACACAGGCAUAAAUGUGCAAAUUUGUUGUAACAAUGCUUUGAAGGAAAAAGGUGGUGUGCUAUUGAGAGAAUAAGAGGGGAGGCUGCCUUAGGUGGUGAUGUGGUUUGGCUCUGUCUCCCCACCCAAAUCUCACCUUGAAUUGUAGUAAUCUCCAUGUAUGGUGGGAAGGACCUGGUGGGAGGUAAUUGAAUCAUGGUGGUGGGUCUUUCCCAUGCUGUUCUUGUGAGAGUGAAUAAAUCUCACAAGAUGUGAUGGUUUUAUAAAGGGGAGUUCCCCUGCACAUGCUCUUGGCUGCCACCAUGUAAUAUGUCCCUUUGCUCUUCCUUCGUCUUCCACCAUGAUUGUGAGGCCUCCCCAGCCACGUGGAAUUGUAAGUCCUUUAAAGCUCUUUCAUUUAUAAAUGACCCAGUCUCAGGUAUGUCUUCAUGAGCAGCAUGAGAAUGAACUAAUACAAGUAGGGUGGCCACAGAAGACUUCCCUGAAGAGGCAGGUGUUGAGCUCACCUAUGAAGGAUGGGUAGGAGUUAAAUAUUCCAGGUAAAGGCAAAACACACCUAAAGGUCUUACCUUAAGGGGAAAAAGGGUGAGGUGAAUUUGAGCCUAUGAAUGAGGUGACAGGGUUAGCAGAAAAUAGACAGGACAGAGGAUGAGUUCUAUUCUGAGUAUAAACCACAAAAGCAAUGGAGGAGGUAAAUGCUUUUAUAAAGUGUAAAAUCCACAUGUCUAUAACUUACUAUAUUUUCCAGCAUAAAAAGCUAGGAGUUGAAGUUUCACAUGGAGGCCAGGUGAGGAGUGAUUUCACCUCCAUGGCCUUUGCAGUUUGCACUCAGGAUAAAACAAUUGCCUAAAAACUACACAUGUUAUGGCAGAAAGUGUGUGUGUCAGUGUGUCUGUGUAAUCCGAAUUCCCAAAGUGCAUAACCCUUUCCUCGAAUCUCAUCAUCUGAAUGCAUCAGCUCUUUGAGCCCCAGUUUCCUCCUUUGUAAUCAUGGGGCCAUUUCUUCUUCUUUACUAAUGUGGCUGUUUUCUCAUAAGGUUGUUCUGAGAAAAACUCCAGUAAAUGUUGAUUCCCUAUGCCUCUUCUUUUCUCUGUGGCUUAAGCUUCACUGUCUGGUGCUUCUGAUGACAGUCUGCAUUUGAGAGAAGGCAUUAAACAUUCACAGCUGGCUUUUCAUCAAAAUGUGUCCUGCCCACCACACAAUCUUGGAGAACCCAUUGGCAUCUGACCACUCUAGAGAUUGCCCCUUUCUUAAAGGAGCCCCCUGGCCUCCCCUACCCAGUACUAAAAUCCAUCCAAUUCACACACCAUUGCUGUGGAAGUUAGUCCUUCUUUUAAUUCUGAUCAAGUGAGCAAAAGGGGAAAUAAGGAGGGAUCCAUCAGAACAGCUCAUGAAAAAUAUGUACGUUCUUUAAAGGAAGACAGCAUACAAAUGGGAUAUAUUUUUUUUUCCAAAAGGGAGGGGGAAAUACACGCAGGCUUUUAAACAGAAGACUUUAAGCGGGGAGUGAGAGAGGAAAAAUAUGUCUCUUAAAUGCAUUCAGCGCCAUUGCCACAAGGCUGCCGAGCCAGGAUUGUUUAUUAGAAGAUAAGAUAGUGAAAAAUGUAUUUUGCAGAAAGAAAAUAGUAAAGUCAGGUCUGAGGCAGAUAAGAAGCCAAAUUUCUAUUUUAUGCUCAAUUGAGUGACUCAGUUACAUUAUCUGGGAAGCAGGGGUGAAAUAACACCCUUCGGAAAUGAGGCCUGGGUUGCUCUGGGUCUCCUUCCAGCCUUGGCCAAGCUGAACUCUGCACAGCUGGGAUGCUGCCUUCUCAGAGCAGAGUAUUUGCCAUCUAGGGAUGAGGGGAAGAAAGGUUCUGAUCUUUUCUCUUCAGCUCCUUUUUUUCUCCAUCUUUUCAUAUGAGCACUCCAGUUCAGCUUCAUGCUUCCCCUUCUGCUGCUGAAGGUGAGAAAAUAAAAGCACACACAUGCAUACAAGAUGAAGCUCUGCAAAGACCAACCGAUGUUGAAGCCAGAAGCAUCAUUAGAGUUCAGCUGGUAUAGGGGUCUGUGGUCAGUCCUUUAUUUGGCAAGCACAAACAUGUCAUUUGAGUGUUUUUACACAGGGCAUUGUUCUCUAGUUUGCCAAAGAUCCUACUACACCUUUUAAAAAUUUUACCUGGUGCUUUACACAUUUUCAUUGUGUGUCUGGUCCCUGGAGAAAUGUAAGAUGAUUUCUCUAGACAUCUUCCAGAAUCCUCAGUGAAAAGAUGGAGAAGCUUCCCUCCAGAGAGGUCAAGAGGCUCAUUAAAAGUCACACAGCUGGUGAGUAUUAUCAUUACAAACAGGCUGUACUUCUAAUCAUCUCUUAUCCUUUCCUAAUGGUUCAGCGUUUGGGCCCUUUUCCAUUUUGGAGAUCCUUCAUUUAUUAUCCAGUUGGAGGUCAGAGCAAUUUGAAAAAUGGAUAUUGACUUUUUGGGCCAAUAGUCAGUUCAAAAACUCACUUAGUUGUGCAUUGGUAAGCCUGUGGUAGACAGAAUAAUGGCCCCUGAAGAUGUCCAUAGCUGAAUCCCAGAAACCUGUAAGUAAUUUUGCAAAUGUGAUUAAAUUAAGGAUCUUCAACUGGAAUGAUUAUCCUGAAUUAUCUGGUGAUAUGGUUUGGCUGUGUCUCCACCAAAUCUCAUCUUGAAUUGUAGCUCCCAUAAUCCCCACGUGUUGUGGGAGGGAC